AGUCGCUCUGGAUAAGAGCGUCUGCUAAAUGUAAUGUAAAUGUAAUAUUAAAUUAGGUCAUACCUAUGAACUCAAAGAGACUGUAGGAGAUACCUCAAUCAGAGGGGCUGCUCUGAUGACAUCUCUGUUUGCCUUACCUCACAGAGACUACUAGUUGGCUCUGGAUGUAAAAGGUAAAUUCCUGAACAAACAGGCCUACAUGUAAAUCUCCAUCAUGUUAAGAGAGCCAACAAAGAAUAAAAACAUGAUAUGAUUUUUGUGGUUUUAUUGGUGGACAGAAAGUCUUAAAUCUUUCCAAACAAAACCAACAAACAACAUUCAAUUUACAGGCAGUCCUAUAUGUGUGAGAGAGAACAGUGAGUGGGAGACAUGUUUUACUGGACCAAAGAUUAGCAACUUUUUUCUCUACUCUUACUAUUUAAAUACACUUGAUAUCACAUUGAUAAUUUUGAUACUUGAAUAAAAAUCCAAUAGGCAACGUAUCCCUUUCAUUUUAUUAAAAUUAUAAUACUGUACUCCUACUUAAGUUGGAUUCACCAAAAAAUGUUCACAAUGAAUUGAAGUCAUCUUUAAUCAAUGGCAUCCUUAACCAUGGCAAUCUUGAAGAGGCAGACCUUUUUCAAGAUUUGGAAUACUUUUAUUGGACAUGAAGGACAGGAUGCCUUGCUACUUGUUAGAAACUAAAUAAGGUCACCACAGUCAAGAUAAAAUAAGGAUUGUAGCAACAUUUUUUAUAGUAGUGUUAGAUCAUGUGUCGUGUUUCAGUAAAGGUAUCACUGGGAGCUACAACUGAAAAUUUAUUUUGAAAAGAUUUUCUGAUACGUGGUUUCAAAUAUUGAUCAGAGUAAUAUUAUAGAGCAGUAGGACUAUACUCAGCACAUUUCUCUGUCUGAAAAGAAUUAAAGGCCAGAGAGAGAGGGUGCAAUGAUGAGAGGAAUGGAUGGAUAAGAGGAAGGUACUACAUAUAGAGAUGGAAACAAUAGAGAGCUUUUUCAGUCCAGAUCAGUUAUGCAUUGAUCUGAUCCAUCAGUUGAUGUGUGUGCUAAGGAGUGCCCCUCCCCGGAUGGAAUUGCCCUCAUUCCACACACAAACACCCAAACGGACCUAGAUUUCAACUGUCUUCAGUCUGCUGUCAGUACCCCAUGCAUUUAUCAAGACAUUCACUUCCUGCCUUUAGCCCAGAAAUAUUCUGAGCAGCAGCUAUCGGGUUCAUUAGACUACUCAUCUGUACACACGCACACCUUGCUGGCCUUUUUCUACUCCUUAAACCUUCAUUUUACUUAUUGUAUUCUUAUCAUAAACAUGGACUAAUUCGAAUUACAAGAAGCUUCAGGAUACCCCAGUUGGUUGGGUAGCACACAAUAGCCUAUUUAGCAAUGUACAGCAGCGCUUGAAAGCUAAAUAGGUCAACUUCUGAAUCUACCUUGCCCGCUUGCCAGUGGGCAGAUUACCCAACAGACUGUGCCUUGGAAGGGGUUAGGAUUCCAUGUCCUGCACAUACAGACAGGAUGUAUGCAGCCAACCUUUGGCAAGAAUUGUAGGAUGCCAUCUGGUGGACUUAUCUGGGAAUGGAGUAUGC